AGAGUUUGAUCCUGGCUCAAGACGAACGCUGGCGGCGUGCCUAACACAUGCCAGUCAAGCGAGAAUCUUUAAAUUGAUUCCUUCGGGAUGAUUUUUAAAGAGGAAAGCGGCGGACGGGUGAGUAACACGUGAGUAACCUGCCUUCGGGAGGGGGACAACACCUCGAAAGGGGUGCUAAUACCGCAUAACAUUGUUUUAUCGCAUGGUAUUACAAUCAAAUGAUUUAUCCCCUGAAGAUGGACUCCCGUCUGAUUAGAUAGUUGGUGGGGUAACGGCCUACCAAGUCGACGAUCAGUAGCCGAACUGAGAGGUUGAUCGGCCACAUUGGCGACUGAGAUACGGCCCAGACUCCUACGGGAGGCAGCAGUGGGGAAUAUUGGGCAAUGGGGGAAACCCUGACCCAGCAAUGCCGUGUGAAGGAAGAAGGCCUGCUGGUUGUAAAUUUCUUUUACCGAGGAAGAAGAAAUGUCGGUACUUGGGGAAUUAGGUCUGGAUAAGUACGUGCCAGCAGCCUCGGUAAUAUGUAGGGAGCAAGCUUUAUCUGGAUUUAGUGGGUGUAAAGGGUGGGUAGGUGGGAUUGUAAGUCAGAUGUGAAAUGUCAUGGCUCAACCGGUGAAACUGCAUUUGAAUUGUAGUUCUUGAGUACUGGAGAGGUUGACGGAAUUCGUAGUGUAGCGGUGAAAUGAGUAGAUAUUAGGAGGAACACCAGUGGAGAAGGCGGUCAACUGGACAGCAACUGACGUUGAGGCGCGAAAGCGUGGGGAGCAAACAGGAUUAGAUACCGCGGUAGUGCGCGCUGUAAACGAUGAUGACUAUCCGUCGGCGAUACACUGUCGGUGGCCAAGCGAAAGCGAUAAGUCAUCCACCUGGGGAGUACGACCGCAAGGUUGAAACUCAAAGGAAUUGACGGGGGCCGGCUCAAGCGGAGGAACAUGUGGUUUAAUUCGAUGAUACGGGAGGAACCUUACCCGGGCUCGAACGGCAGGGGAAUGAAUCAGAGAAGGUUCAGUUUUCGGACUCCUGUAGAGGUGCUGCAUGGUCGUCGUCAGCUAGUGCUGUGAAGUGUCGGGUUAAGUGCCAUAACGAGCGCAACCCUUGCCAUUAGUUGCCAUCAGGUAAAGCUGGGGAUUCUAUGUGGGACUGCCACCGCAAGGUGUGAGGAAGGGGGGGACGACGUGAAAUCAGCACGGCCCUUACGUCGGGGGCGACACACGUGUUGCAAUGGUGGGUACAGAGGGAAGCUACCCGGCGACAGGAUGCAGAUCUAGAAAACCCAUCCCAGUUCGGAUUGGAGUCUGCAACCAGACUCCAUGAAGUUGGAUUCGAUAGUAAUCGCGCAUCAGCCAUGGUGCGGUGAAUAAGUUCCCGGCCCUUGCACACACCGCCCGUCA
rnacentral:rRNA from 1 species